UUUCAGGCCUCUAAUCUUUUUGAUUCAUCUAUCCCUUUUUUUUACAAUCUCAUAGGCCGCAAUCAAGCUGCAGCAAUGGAGCAGACCAACCCCACACACAGCCAAGCCCCACCCUCGCCGGAUGUACAGGAAGUGCAAAAUGCCACCACAUCAGGUGUACGAGCUGUUGGUGGUGGCUUAGACAGUGACAGUGCCCAGGUGCUCAUUGGGGAGAUAAUGUCCUGCAGGGCAAAUAGAGGACACAAACAUCGCCCUGGAGAAGAUCAUAAGGAACAAUAAGAAGGUGGACCAAGACCUCAAGAAUAUUCUUGAUGUUCUGGGGAGGGUUUAAAAAAAAUAAAAAA